rnacentral:rRNA from 1 species
UAGGGAAUCUUCCGCAAUGGACGAAAGUCUGACGGAGCAACGCCGCGUGAGUGAAGAAGGAUUUCGGUUCGUAAAACUCUGUUGUUAGGGAAGAAAAAAUGUAUAGUAACUAUAUACAAAAGAGACGGUACCUAACCAGAAAGCCACGGCUAACUACGUGCCAGCAGCCGCGGUAAUACGUAGGUGGCAAGCGUUGUCCGGAAUUAUUGGGCGUAAAGCGAGCGCAGGCGGUUAGAAAAGUCUGAAGUGAAAGGCAGUGGCUCAACCAUUGUAGGCUUUGGAAACUGUUUAACUUGAGUGCAGAAGGGGAGAGUGGAAUUCCAUGUGUAGCGGUGGAAUGCGUAGAUAUAUGGAGGAACACCGGUGGCGAAAGCGGCUCUCUGGUCUGUAACUGACGCUGAGGCUCGAAAGCGUGGGGAGCGAACAGG